rnacentral:lncRNA from 1 species
GCGGGGCCUGCCGCCGCCACCGCCUCAGGGAAGAGGAAGGAGGCCGCGGCUUCGCGUCCCGCCUCUCGCCUGGCUGGCCGUGGGGGGCCUGGACGCAGUGGCCUCCCGAAUCUCCCAGGACCCUAAUAUCGCCCGAGGAUGCUGGGAGGAACGCUGAGCCGACCUCUCCGUUAGGCUGAAGAUUGCACAAACCAUGCUAAUGGCCAGCAUGGAUGGAGGGAGCGUGUGAGAUGUGUGGGGCAGCGUGCUGCAUCUCAGCCAACUCCAGGAGCCAGUUGAUGUGAUGGACUACCUUAAUUGAUUUUUGAAUGUUGAGCCAGCCUUAUGCAUGUGGGAUAAACCCCUGUUGAUCAUGGACAUUUUUAAAUUCUAGGUAUAGAGCAAUAAAAGAAGAAUUCAAGCAAAGGGAUCAGGAAGAGGAUUGCUACUAAGAGGCAGAGAAACCAAUGAAGCCUUUUGCCAUCUCACACUGGAAAGACAAAAAGUCAUAGAGGCUUGAUUUUUAUAAGGAAAGAGAAGUGAGAAACUGACCUCGAUACUUUGUUGGACUUGCCUAAAGACAUUUGCUGAAUUCUCGGGCUGUGCUGGGAUGGAGAUUAGAGGCCAAAUAAAAACCUCUGGAGCUCCCAGGCCUCUACAGUUUGCUGGGUCCCAUUACUUUCUGAGACAGGAAGCAUGCUCAUGGCAAUACCCGGAGUCUCCACUGCAAGACCAGAGUGACGGAGGCAGCAGAGCUCCUCAGCAGGCCAGGAGUCUCCAGAGGCACUGCCGAAUGUCUAAGAAGCAACCUCAUUGUAUUCCCAAGACCUGGGAAUCCAGGUCUCGCAGAUACGAUGAUACAAUCUAUAGCCAGGACAUCUCUUCAUGUGUAGUUUUCAAUGAAUACUAGGAUAAGCAACUAUCCCAGUCUUCCCAGGAUUGAGGGGCUUCUCCAGAUGCUGCACUUCUGGUGCUAAAAAUGAGAAACUGAAAUGAAUUAGUCACCCAAGGAAUGCUGACCCUGUGCUAUAUGAUCACAUUUACUCUUUAAAGCAAUGCUUUGAGACAUGAAAGCCAGAUAGGGAAGAAUUUGCAGCCUCAUACUGAUUGGCCAGUUGAGGAGUCAACUCAUCUCUCUUAUAGAAAAAAGAAGAUUACAUUUACGGAAUACAGAAUAUACUGUGCUCUCUACUUACCAAGAGAUUUCUUUCUCUACUGACAACUUUCUGUUGACGUGGUUACUGUGCAGGUUCUGACAGUCGAUUCUUUCCACCUAGUUCACUGCUGAAGCUAUAAUGAUUUCCAUUUUGCAAAAAGAGGAUGAUUACUUAUUAUCUGUGACCAUUUCUCAAUUCCAGAACAAUUGAGCUGCAUAGUCCCUGCAAUCUUAUAAAGGCAUUUGGCCUGGAAGAUGCUCUGCAGCCAUGUGCCAAGAAUAACGGCUAUAGGGACAAUGUUUCAUUAACCCCAAAGCAGCAACCUGAACCUCUUACUGUACAAUAUCUGCUCCGUUCAGAAUUAGCUCGACUUGAGUCACAGGAUGAAGCUUACCAAAAGGAAUUUCCACGUCCAAGGAAGGAACCAAGAUCACUGAGAGGUUAUAGUAUGAAAAGUGAAGAGAAAAAACCUAUUCUAAACAUUUUAUUAAUUGUCAAUAAUUAUUUUAAAAUAUUUAAUAUAGUCUCCUACCUGGUCCACUGGCAUCAAGCUGCCAAAUUUACACGGUCACUUUGGGAAGCCAGCUGGCAGGCAAACAUGGAAAGUGCUGGCUCCUAGCGUAGUGAGAAGACCACAGAUAGAUGGUAAUUUUCUUCUUUGUUUUAUUUUUCUUUUUCUUCUCUCCCUCUUUUUCUUCCCUCUUGCCUUUCCCUCCCAUUGCCCACUUUCUUUUUUUGGCUGCCGAAGAUUUAUUGCCUUUCAGUACUUAUAGAUGAUGUUUUCAUAAGUUCUAAUGAGGUCCCAGCAGUUUUUAACAAUAACAGGACAUUACUGUUCCUAAGAUAUAUUAUGUGUUUUCCCUCAUCUUUCUCCCUUGAAUGAAAUGCUUAGAAGUAGGCUAACCCCCAAUUCCCUUCCCUUUACUAUGAUAAAUGGCUCCAUUACUUAAUAGGGCUAAAUACUCUGCUGUGACUUUUAUACUGCUGAUUUGAAUAAAAUCUUACGAAAAGCUUUUCUCGUGU